AAGUCACCUCGAGCCUUGGCUCGGAUUUGGACGUUUGCCGUCGGGGCUCGUCUUGAAAUGCAUUAGCUUGCCCGCCGCAGACCGAAUGGUGCGAUGAGUUGAAUCUUUCACCCCUGGGUCUCGUCGGGUGGGCUCACAGUCGUCUUUGCACAAAACUCUUGA
rnacentral:misc_RNA from 1 species